rnacentral:rRNA from 1 species
GACGAACGCUGGCGGCGUGCUUAACACAUGCAAGUCGAACGGAAAGGCCCUGCUUUUGUGGGGUGCUCGAGUGGCGAACGGGUGAGUAACACGUGAGUAACCUGCCCUUGACUUUGGGAUAACUUCAGGAAACUGGGGCUAAUACCGGAUAGGAGCUCCUGCUGCAUGGUGGGGGUUGGAAAGUUUCGGCGGUUUGGGAUGGACUCGCGGCUUAUCAGCUUGUUGGUGGGGUAGUGGCUUACCAAGGCUUUGACGGGUAGCCGGCCUGAGAGGGUGACCGGCCACAUGGGGACUGAGAUACGGCCCAGACUGCUACGGGAGGCAGCAGUGGGGAAUAUUGCACAAUGGGCGGAAGCCUGAUGCAGCAACGCCGCGUGCGGGAUGACGGCCUUCGGGUUGUAAACCGCUUUCGCCUGUGACGAAGCGUGAGUGACGGUAAUGGGUAAAGAAGCACCGGCUAACUACGUG